rnacentral:rRNA from 1 species
GACGAACGCUGGCGGCGUGCUUAACACAUGCAAGUCGAGCGGUAAGGCCCUUUCGGGGGUACACGAGCGGCGAACGGGUGAGUAACACGUGGGUGACCUGCCCUCAGCUCUGGGAUAAGCCCGGGAAACUGGGUCUAAUACCGGAUAUGACACAUCGUUGCAUGAUGGUGUGUGGAAAGUUUUCGGUCUGGGGAGUGGGCCCGGCGGCCUAUCAGCUUGUUGGUGGGGUGGAUGGCCUACC